CAUCACUUUCUAAUUCCUAAUUUAGUGUUUUUAGUCUAGUUUUAACGUACCAUUUGCAAGCAAAAUAGAUUUUGAGAAAGAUUGACAGAUCAUUUAUGCUAUAAGAUCACUCCACUCAAAUACUAAACACUUAUCCCUAAGGACACCUAGCAUCACUGUUAGCCAUUUCUUUUCUCUUGAUGGAACACAAUUAGUUAGCUCAUUCCUUAAGAUUUUUGUCAUGCACUAACUUUAUAAGACUUGCAGUUUUGGA
rnacentral:lncRNA from 1 species